UGCAAGUCGAACGGCAGCACGGGGGCAACCCUGGUGGCGAGUGGCGAACGGGUGAGUAAUACAUCGGAACGUGCCCUGAAGUGGGGGAUAACGUAGCGAAAGUUACGCUAAUACCGCAUAUUCUGUGAGCAGGAAAGCAGGGGAUCGCAAGACCUUGCGCUUUAGGAGCGGCCGAUGUCGGAUUAGCUAGUUGGCGGGGUAAAGGCCCACCAAGGCGACGAUCCGUAGCGGGUCUGAGAGGAUGAUCCGCCACACUGGGACUGAGACACGGCCCAGACUCCUACGGGAGGCAGCAGUGGGGAAUUUUGGACAAUGGGCGCAAGCCUGAUCCAGCCAUGCCGCGUGAGUGAAGAAGGCCUUCGGGUUGUAAAGCUCUUUCGGCGGGGAAGAAAUCGCACUGGUUAAUACCUAGUGUGGAUGACGGUACCCGAAUAAGAAGCACCGGCUAACUACGUGCCAGCAGCCGCGGUAAUACGUAGGGUGCAAGCGUUAAUCGGAAUUACUGGGCGUAAAGCGUGCGCAGGCGGUUAUGUAAGACAGGUGUGAAAUCCCCGGGCUUAACCUGGGAAUGGCAUUUGUGACUGCAUGGCUAGAGUGUGUCAGAGGGGGGUAGAAUUCCACGUGUAGCAGUGAAAUGCGUAGAUAUGUGGAGGAAUACCGAUGGCGAAGGCAGCCCCCUGGGAUAACA
rnacentral:rRNA from 1 species